UAAAGAAUUUCGGUAUGGGAUGGGGAUGCGUUCCAUUAGUUAGUUGGCGGGGUAACGGCCCACCAAGACAACGAUGGAUAGGGGUUCUGAGAGGAAGGUCCCCCACAUUGGAACUGAGACACGGUCCAAACUCCUACGGGAGGCAGCAGUGAGGAAUAUUGGUCAAUGGACGAGAGUCUGAACCAGCCAAGUAGCGUGAAGGAUGACUGCCCUAUGGGUUGUAAACUUCUUUUAUAUGGGAAUAAAACGUUCCACGUGUGGGAUUUUGUAUGUACCAUAUGAAUAAGGAUCGGCUAACUCCGUGCCAGCAGCCGCGGUAAUACGGAGGAUCCGAGCGUUAUCCGGAUUUAUUGGGUUUAAAGGGAGCGUAGGUGGAUUGUUAAGUCAGUUGUGAAAGUUUGCGGCUCAACCGUAAAAUUGCAGUUGAAACUGGCAGUCUUGAGUACAGUAGAGGUGGGCGGAAUUCGUGGUGUAGCGGUGAAAUGCUUAGAUAUCACGAAGAACUCCGAUUGCGAAGGCAGCUCACUGGACUGCAACUGACACUGAGGCUCGAAAGUGUGGGUAUCAAACAGGAUUAGAUACCCUGGUAGUCCACACAGUAAACGAUGAAUACUCGCUGUUUGCGAUAUACGGCAA
rnacentral:rRNA from 1 species